rnacentral:lncRNA from 1 species
CGUGCCAACUCUCCAUUCCAAUUCACUGUCCACUAUUUUUCUCCAUUUAACUUCACAGAUAUUUAAUGAAACCAAAGUAAGAAAAACUCUAAACGAGGCCAUGUAGCUAUGCCAAACCUAACAACUAACUACUUUUAUACAUUAACAAACGCAUGAAUAUAGACCCUACUUCUCAAACUUCAAGUUGUAUUCUAUCUAAACAAACUUCAAGUAUUUGGGACUUCCCUUUUGAACAUUGGACUCACCUACAGGAAUACUAAAUCAUACCAAGAUAAAGGUGCAAAGAAUCUAAUUUAGCUUAAACACUUGUCAUUCGAAAGUAACAUCACGACGGCUUAAUUACCUAACACAAGACAUAGCAGGAAACUUCAUGGUUAAACUUCAGUGUCUCAUAAAGCAAAACAAGAAGAAAACUCAAAAGUACAAGAAAAAGACCUUAAAAAUAUGAAGUUACACAUUUCAGAUCUACACGUUAUUAAUAACUGAUUUUGGUUUAACACUUGAAGAGAUGAAAUAGAUCAUUAUCUUCAAUCAAUUACUAUAAAAUCAGUAUUACAAAGUUUAAAGGUUACUUGAAGAGCAAAAAUACAAUACAGUAGUAAAAACGAGCAGAAACAGCAGCGAUUUUGUGUCCAAACACCCCCAAAACCUUAGAGAAGAAGCCUAGAAUCAACUCUAUAGAGUUAUUUUUUCUUUUUGAAAGAGUUUUCACCCUAAGAAGUACUCGCAAAGCUCACAAUUUCAGCUUAUUUUCUUUUUGUUCAGAUGUUGAUGUUUCUCUCAAGUUUUAUGUGUUCAAGCAACUCUAAAGGUGUGUCUAGUGUGUCAAGAUGUGUGUGUCAAGUGAGGAAAGAGCAGCCCUUUAAUUAGGCAAAGAGAGUCACUUUUUGGACAGAUUUUGGUUCACCAAAAAUCUGUCCAAAAAGACUGACUUUGUGUGCCAAAACACUACCCAAGGGUUGUCCAAAAGGUGAGAGGACAGCUUGAAAACCUGCUGUGGUAGAAGUAUGAAGAAAAACAGUAUUUUCAGUCACCCUUCUAGUAAAAAGGUGACCUAUUAUAUACCCUAUUUCAUGAUUACACCCAUCUACCCUUAAGAUUUUAUCAACAUCGUUACCAAACCACUUACUCAAAAACAAAUAACUAAAAAUCAAUUAACUGAUUGAACUAUUAACUAGAAAUCAAUUAACUAGAACUUCAAGAUUGAAACCAAGCAAGAAACAUGUAUUAAACCAUGAAAUACUUAAAACUAAUCCGCUUAAACAAAAAUGAUUAUCAGAAACACUAACCUAAACUCAGACCUUACCGACAUAAAGCAAAGCAAAAAUACAUCAACAGUAAUACAAACUAACAUGAACAAUUAAGUUAAAAAAUAAAAAAUCAGAAAUUAGAUUGAGAGCUAACUGAAAUGAUCACUAAACAGAAUUAUAACAAAACUACAAACAAAUGACGUGGAAACAGAAAAUCAAAAACUCGAAGGAAAGGAUUAGGAUUUGAGUUUAUACCAAGCUCUGGGACAUUCAACGUCGAAUCGAGCAACGAGAUGAUGCCAAGGAUGCCAACUGGUGGAUGUCCAACCUUGAAACGCUCAUUUCAUUUCGGCAGAUGCUAAAUUCAAUGAACUCGGCGUCGUACCAAAAUAAAACGGAUGUCUUUGGGUAGAAUAUGUUUUAAAACAAAGGUCAUAUGAGUAGGGAAGAAGAAAAUAAAGAGGAAAAGAAGAGUGAGCAGCGGCAGUGGUAGCGGCGGGAGGUGGUGAGGGCUACUGGCCAGUGGUGGUGCUGAGAAGCGGCAGUGGUAGGGAAAGUGUAGAUCUCCUUGAGAUCUACACAUUUAUGUAAGAUUUGUGGGGUGUGGUGGUUGAAUUUGUCACGAAUUUGAGAAAGAAAAAAGAAAAAUUAGGGCGGCUAGGGUUUCGGUUAGGGUUUGAUCUACGGAGAUUGGUAGAGAUUUGGAGGAUAUGAGGCUUGGAUUAAUGGUGAGGAGGUUGAGAGGAAGAAAUGGUAAAAAUUUGGGGUGGUUUGGACGACAGCCGCCGUCAGUGGGCGAUUUCCGACGGCAGAGCAGGUCGGCGGAUGGCGAGGUCUUGAAUGAGAGGGGGGAGAGUGAAAAGAGAGGAAGAAGAGAGGAAAUAAGGGGAAAAUGGGG